UUUAGGAGACACUUGUGAAAAUAUGCAAUGAAAAAUGAAUAUUUACAUUGAAAAUACAGGAAAUGAAAAUGAACAUUUUACUUUAUCAAUAUUUCUUAAUGUUUCAUUGAAGAAUGUAAUAAAUUAAAAGAAAUAUUGUAUUAAUUAGGAAAAGUUUUUAUUUCAGGUGUGUGAUUAAAGGCUUGUUUGUUAGAUUUCAAUUGUGGCACAGUUGGUUGUUUGCUGAGAAGCUGUGAAACAUAAUUAUACAGGCCAUUAAGUGGUACCAAAAAGAUGGUAAAUUGGUAGUGUUCAGUUCCGGGCAAACAUUUUCUUCAAGAGGUUUUUGUCAGAUUGAUGAAUGUGAAAUUAAGAGGACCCAUUUUGAGAAUGCAUCAAGAGAGAUAAAGUCUAAAAUGUGAUACUGUCAAUGUGACUAACCU